rnacentral:rRNA from 1 species
UCAAAUUUGAAAUCUGGCAGUCUUCGAUUGUCCGAGUUGUAAUCUAUAGAGGCGUUUUCCGUGCCGGACCGUGUCCAAGUCUCCUGGAAAGGAGUAUCAAAGAGGGUGAUAAUCCCGUACUUAACACGACCACCGGUGCUCUGUGAUACGUCUUCUACGAGUCGAGUUGUUUGGGAAUGCAGCUCAAAAUGGGUGGUGAAUUCCAUCUAAAGCUAAAUAUUGGCGAGAGACCGAUAGCGAACAAGUACCGUGAGGGAAAGAUGAAAAGCACUUUGGAAAGAGAGUUAAACAGUACGUGAAAUUGUUGAAAGGGAAACGAUUGAAGUCAGUCGUGUUCUUUGGAUUCANCCAGUUCUGCUGGUCUACUUCCUUUGAACGGGUCAACAUCAGUUUUGUCCGGUGGAUAAAGGCAGUAGGAAUGUAGCUUCUCCGGAAGUGUUAUAGCCUAUUGUCACAUACACUGGGUGAGACUGAGGACUGCAGCUCGCCUUUAUGGCCGACCUUCGGGUACGUUCGAGCUUAGGAUGUUGACAUAAUGGCUUUAAACGACCCGUC